UCUUAUGGAUGAGCAAUGAAAACAGUUUCUCGAGAUAGAAUCUAUUCCUGGUGAGGAUGCUGUGAA
rnacentral:pre_miRNA from 1 species